UUGCGGGAUAACCUUCAAAAGUGCAAUGAUCUUCAUUAUAUUCAAGAUAAUAUUUUAAUCUGCCAAACAUCAGAUCACAACAGUUAUCAUUUUGACAAAACUUGAUAACACCGAAUCAUAGACGCCGUAGAUUCAAUGUUAAGAUAAAAAUAUUAUCAUAUAAUCCCUAUUUUUGUUCCUGUAUAUUUUUGCAAUUAUUUCCAGAAUUGCAGACGAUACAGACGUGAUUUUAAUACCGAUAAGCUUUUGAAAAAAUUGUUUAUUUGUCUCAAAAAAAAAAACAACAAAAUUUUACUAUUUAUAUUUUGUAUUUAGCGUUAUAAUAGAACAGAUUUGUUAUCUAGAUAUAUAUUUAUCUUAUAAUCCCUAUUUUUGUUCCCAUACAUUUUCACAAUUAUUUCCAAAACUACAUAUGCUACAGGGAUGAUUCUAACACCGAUAAGCUUUUGAAAAAAUUGUCUAUUUGUCUCAUAA
rnacentral:misc_RNA from 1 species